rnacentral:lncRNA from 1 species
AGCCCAACCCCUGAAGUUUCCAGGGCAGGAGGAUCCCAGAGUUACCUGAGCACACUCAGGGGCUCNCAGGAAUGCAUCCAGAGCAGCUGGUGCCCCCCGUGCCGAGCUCCAGCCUUUACUCCAAAGGGAGGAGUUUCCAGGAUCCCACGGGGGGUUCCAGUGCCCCCGCAGUGCCCCCGGGCCGGGCUGGCAGUGAGCUGGGGGCCUGGAACGACACAGAAUUCCAUCGAUCCCAGCUCCAGGUGCUCCCCUCACCUGGCCCCGCUCUCCCACGGCCCCGAGGGACCUGGGUGUCCCCUCCCCGGGCAGCCGUGUCCCCUCCGACGCUGCCAUCGCCAGGUACAAAGUGCAAAAGUGUUGCUGUUCCUGCAUCCAUUAAAAACUUUAAAAAACAGAACAAAACAAACAGAAAAAAGGAUUUCCAUCAUCAUUUGCAAAUACAUUAAUUCAGUUUCCAAAGAGCCAGCAAAGCCCUGGUCACCUCCUCGUGGGCCAACACGGACACUGGGCAGGCCCAGCCCAGCUCCUGCCCCGAUCCAGCAGAGCCCAGGGGAGGCCAGAGCAGUGCUGGGACCCGGGGACACCCCGGGACAGCCGGGCUCUGGCUGGGGACACCCCGGGACAGCCGGGCUCUGGCUGGGGACGAGCCCGGCCUCGGCCCUGCCCGAAUGCAAGCCCUCCCUGCUCCCUCCCGUGGAAGUGUUGGCAUUCCUCCUCUGCUGUGAAAUGUUUCUGGUAAGGCUUUAUUGCUCUACAAAGCGGUGCAAAGGCUGCCCGAGGACAGCUCCAUCAGGAACUUUGGUCACACGGCUGCGGGAUUUGUGCGCUGGCCCCGGCCGCCGCUGGACCUGCUACCUUCCCAAGAGAAGCUGAAUACUGUGUGCAAUAACACUGGGAAAACAGCACUGAACCCCAAAUCCAAAACAAAAACCAGGGGCACGGGGAAGGGGACAACUGAAAUCAGGCAGAAGGCUUGGGAAGAGCCCGUCAUUCCCGUGAGGACUGAACUCAAUGCUACAUUUCGACAAUGCCGAGUGUCUUUCCGAACGGAUCGGUGCUGUUGGAUCUGCGUGUCUGGUCCUGAACGCCAGCUCGCUCUCAUCAAUGCAGCAUUUAUUAAAAAAUAAAAUUAAAAAGAAGAAAAAAAAAAAAAAAAAA